GGGAGCACCAAGUUUCCUCACUUCCUGUGCCCUUGCCCUCAGUCAGAUGCAGUAUGUAGGACACAGCAGAGCCGGAUCAGUGCUUCACCCGAAGCUCUGCUGCAUUUCACUGUCUGCAGUUACAAGUGAGGAAAACUCAUCUCGCAGGAUCAGGGCCAAAGGGCGUGAGGCUAAUCCAUAGUUAUUUUGUCCACAUAUAAGGAGUUAUACAUGCAUAAAUGUGAAGAUCGACAAGUUUUGGACUCUAGUCUACCAUUAUCUAUGAACAUCUGCUGGCUUAUAUGACCCAAAACACUGUUUAGUUUAGUUGGCUUCCUGCACCGCUCUCAUGCCUGUCUGGGACGAUGAUCUGGUCCUCUAGAGGAGUGAGUUAGUGCCAGUGUGGUUUGGGUAUCCGGUAAGACCACCACCGCCUGUCUACAUCAUGACCUCCAGUAUGUUAAAGCAACACAGGGGAGUGAGCCAUUCAUGAACACACAGAGAAAACACAAAAUAGACAGUUAGUGGUCAGUAAUGUUUUUGAAAGAA